rnacentral:rRNA from 1 species
GCGGGCUGGACCUCUCGGGGUUACAGCCUUGCUGAAUUAUUCACCCUUGUCUUUUGCGUACUUCUUGUUUCCUUGGUGGGUUCGCCCACCACUAGGACAAACAUAAACCUUUUGUAAUUGCAAUCAGCGUCAGUAACAAAUUAAUAAUUACAACUUUCAACAACGGAUCUCUUGGUUCUGGCAUCGAUGAAGAACGCAGCGAAAUGCGAUAAGUAGUGUGAAUUGCAGAAUUCAGUGAAUCAUCGAAUCUUUGAACGCACAUUGCGCCCUUUGGUAUUCCAAAGGGCAUGCCUGUUCGAGCGUCAUUUGUACCCUCAAGCUUUGCUUGGUGUUGGGCGUCUUGUCUCUAGCUUUGCUGGAGACUCGCCUUAAAGUAAUUGGCAGCCGGCCUACUGGUUUCGGAGCGCAGCACAAGUCGCACUCUCUAUCAGCAAAGGUCUAGCAUCCAUUAAGCCUUUUUUCAACUUUUGACCUCGGAUCAGGUAGGGAUACCCGCUGAACUUAAGCAUAUCAAUAAGGCGGAGGA